rnacentral:lncRNA from 1 species
ACGGGGUAUUGCAAAAGAGAUACAGUAAACUAAAUGAAACACUAUAAAGUAAGAAACAGUGAACUAAUAAUAUCAUACAAAACAAGAAAGUAAAAAAAUACAAAACAAAAUGGGGAAUAUUGCCUCAAAGGCCCUCUUCCCACAAAAAUGAAAUACACAGUCUUCAUGAAAAUAAAAUAAGGUACGGGAGGCACAGUAAAAACGUCCUCCUAACAUGCUAAGCUUAUGG